AGUGUAAUGCUCAUUUGCAUUGUUUUGAAUUAAUCAUGCAAUAUCUUAUGUCUUUGAGGUUUCAAUAAUGGGAGGGUUUAAUUUUUGGAAUAACAUUGUAGGGUAGGUAUGAGAAGUCAGAUCUGGCUAGUUUUAACAUAAGGCAAGUAGACUAUUUUGGUCGGAUAUGGCUGGUUUAAA